AACGAACGCUGGCGGCAGGCUUAACACAUGCAAGUCGAACGGGUGUAGCAAUACAUCAGUGGCAGACGGGUGAGUAACACGUGGGAACCUUCCUCGUUGUACGGAACAACUCAGGGAAACUUGAGCUAGUACCGUAUACGUCCGAGAGGGGAAAGAUUUAUCGCAAUGAGACGGGCCCGCGUCGGAUUAGCUAGUUGGUGGGGUAACGGCCUACCAAGGCGACGAUCCGUAGCUGAUCUGAGAGGAUGAUCAGCCACACUGGGACUGAGACACGGCCCAGACUCCUACGGGAGGCAGCAGUGGGGAAUCUUGGACAAUGGGCGCAAGCCUGAUCCAGCCAUGCCGCGUGAGUGAAGAAGGCCUUAGGGUUGUAAAGCUCUUUUGCCAGGGACGAUAAUGACGGUACCUGGAGAAUAAGCCCCGGCAAACUUCGUGCCAGCCGCCGCGGUAAGAC
rnacentral:rRNA from 1 species